AUGGAGGCAUUGCACAAGGAUCUUAGUCGAGUGUUGGGCAAGAAAAGGUACCUCCUAGUGUUAGACGAUAUUUGGAAUGAAGAUGUACAGAAGUGGGAUGAUAUGAGAUCAUUGUUGUGCUCACAUGCUGGCUCAGGUACUGCUAUAAUUGUGACAAGCCGCAGUGAUCAAGUUGCUUCUAUCAUGGGCACCAUUUCUCCACAUCGGAUAUCACUUCUGAACGAGGAUCAAUCAUGGGAGCUUUUUCAUAGAAACACAUUUGGAAGGCAGGUGGAAAAGCACGAGGAAUUUAUUUCAAUGGCUAAGGGUAUUGUCCACAUGUGUAAGGGAUUGCCUCUUGCUAUCAAGACCAUAGCAGCUUUACUUCGUUUGAAGCAUCACAAUCAGUGGGUUUCCGUUCUGAAUAGUGAUGUCUGGAAAGAUCACAUCCUCACAACUACUGGGAUUGUACCUGCACUACAGCUAAGCUAUGAUCACUUGUCAUCAGAAGCAAAAAUAUGCUUUUCUUUCUGUGCUAUUUUCCCCAAGGAUAGCCCAAUGGAUAAAAACAUGUUAAUCCAGCUAUGGAUGGCAAAUGACUUUAUUGCAUCAGAAACAAGAGGCCAACAAAUUUUUGAUGCGCUAGUUUCCAGAUGUUUCCUCCAAGAUGUGGAGAUUCGGAAAAAUCUGUUCUAUGGAUUUCGAGAAGAAUUCGUCCACCGACCAACUACUUGCAAGAUGCAUGAUCUCAUGCAUGAUCUUGCUGACUCUGUAAGUGGAAGUGAUUUCUCUAUUCUACAAGAAUAUUCAUCACGUCAAGAUAUUCUACAAGGAUCCAUAGAUACCAGUUCAUUACAGCAUGAAGUUCGACAUUUGUUACUUGAUUAUGUAAGUGAUAAAACGAUUGCAGCUAUGAAGAAAAUUCUAGCUCCCCGGCCCCGCACAAUAUUAAUGUUCCAAAGGAAAUCUUGGCUUGGGAGUCCUCUGAAUAUGUCCACGUCAAAAUUCAUGUCCUUGCGAGCACUGAAGACAAUCUCAGUCAAGACAAACAUGACAAACUUGAAGCAUCUUCGCUAUCUAGAAUUUUCUAAUUCUGAUAUAUCUGAAUUGCCUGAAGCAACUACCAUGUUGUAUAGCUUGCAAACGUUAAAGCUCAGUGGUUGUCACAACCUUAAGAAAUUACCAGAAGGCAUGAGAUGUAUGAGCAGCCUUCGGCACAUCUUCCUUGUUGGGUGUGAUCGUUUGGAGUGCAUGCCACAAGGUAUUGGUCUGCUGAAUUCUCUAUAG
rnacentral:rRNA from 1 species